UACAGAGGUCCCAAGCGUUGUUCGGAUUCACUGGGCGUAAAGGGUGCGUAGGCGGUCGGGUAAGUCUGAUGUGAAAUCUCACAGCUUAACUGUGAAACUGCAUUGGAUACUAUCCGGCUUGAGGAAUGGAGGGGAGACUGGAAUACUUGGUGUAGCAGUGAAAUGCGUAGAUAUCAAGUGGAACACCAGUGGCGAAGGCGGGUCUCUGGACAGUUCCUGACACUGAGGCACGAAGGCCAGGGGAGCAAACGGG
rnacentral:rRNA from 1 species